AUGGCUGCGCCCCCAGCGAUCCCGCGCCGCGGCCUCUUCAUCGGCGGCGGGUGGCGCGAGCCCACCCUGGGCCGCCGCAUCCCCGUCAUCAACCCGGCCACCGAGGACACCAUCGGUGACAUCCCGGCAGCCACCGCGGAGGACGUCGAGCUCGCCGUCGCGGCGGCUCGAUCUGCGUUCUUGCUCGAUGGCGGGAGCCGCUGGGCGCGCGCUUCCGGGGCGACGCGGGCCAAGUAUCUGAACGCGAUCGCCGCUAAGAUUAAAGAAAAGAUAUCGUAUCUGGCAUUGCUGGAGACAGUUGAUUCUGGAAAGCCCAAGGACGAAGCAGUUGCGGACAUGGACGAUGUUGCUGCAUGCUUUGAGUUCUAUGCUGGUCUGGCUGAAGCCUUAGAUGGUAAACAACAUGCGCCAAUCUCUCUGCCCAUGGAAGAAUUCAAGACCUAUGUUCUUAAAGAACCCAUCGGGGUUGUUGGACUCAUCACUCCCUGGAACUAUCCUCUGUUGAUGGCUACUUGGAAGGUUGCACCUGCCCUGGCUGCUGGGUGUACAGCUGUGUUAAAACCAUCUGAGCUGGCUUCUCUAACUUGCUUAGAGCUCGGUGCAAUAUGUGAAGAGAUAGGACUGCCUUCAGGAGUUCUGAACAUAAUUACUGGUCUGGGCCCUGACGCUGGUGCUCCAAUAGCUUCACAUCCCCAUGUGGAUAAGAUUGCUUUUACAGGAAGUACCGCAACUGGUAAGACGAUAAUGACCGCUGCUGCCCAAAUGGUUAAGCCUGUUUCAUUAGAGCUUGGUGGCAAAAGUCCUCUUGUUAUCUUUGAUGAUGUUGCUGACAUUGACAAAGCUGUUGAAUGGGCCAUGUUUGGUUGUUUUUUCAAUAGUGGUCAAGUUUGCAGUGCAACAUCUCGUCUACUUCUCCAUGAGAAAAUUGCAGAGUGA
rnacentral:rRNA from 1 species